AAAAUACUCCCGUCGUUCGGAAAUACUUGUCGGAGAAAUGGAUAAAAAUGGAUGUAUCCGAACUAAAAUAUGUCUAGAUACAUCCAUAUCUCCGACAAGUAUUUCCGGACAGGGGGAGUAUCAU
rfam:Triticum aestivum genome assembly, contig: Triticum_aestivum_CS42_TGACv1_scaffold_223009_3B